rnacentral:rRNA from 1 species
CAGCCGCCGCGGUAAUACGUAGGUGGCAAGCGUUGUCCGGAAUUAUUGGGCGUAAAGGGCUCGCAGGCGGUUUCUUAAGUCUGAUGUGAAAGCCCCCGGCUCAACCGGGGAGGGUCAUUGGAAACUGGGAAACUUGAGUGCAGAAGAGGAGAGUGGAAUUCCACGUGUAGCGGUGAAAUGCGUAGAGAUGUGGAGGAACACCAGUGGCGAAGGCGACUCUCUGGUCUGUAACUGACGCUGAGGAGCGAAAGCGUGGGGAGCGAACAGGAUUAGAGACCCCUGUAGUCCCUGUCUCUUAUAC